rnacentral:tRNA from 1 species
GCCGACAUAGCUCAGCGGUAGAGCAGCUGUUUCGUAAACAGCAGGUCGAGGGUUCAAUUCCCCCCGCCGGCUCCA